AUACGUAGGGUGCAAGCGUUAAUCGGAAUUACUGGGCGUAAAGCGUGCGCAGGCGGUUUUGUAAGACAGUGGUGAAAUCCCCGGGCUCAACCUGGGAACUGCCAUUGUGACUGCAGGGCUGGAGUGCGGCAGAGGGGGAUGGAAUUUCGCGCGUAGCAGUGAAAUGCGUAGAUAUGCGGAGGAACACCGAUGGCGAAGGCAAUCCCCUGGGCCUGCACUGACGCUCAUGCACGAAAGCGUGGGGAGCAAACAGGAUUAGAUACCCUGGUAGUCAACGCCCUAAACGAUGUCAACUGGUUGUUGGGGAUUUAUUUUCUCAGUAACGAAGCUAACGCGUGAAGUUGACCGCCUGGGGAGUACGGCCGCAAGGUAAAAACUCAAAGGAAUUGACGGGG
rnacentral:rRNA from 1 species